UAGAAGACAGGGUAUGCCAGGUAGGCCUGAGGGAUGCUGGGAGAACCUGGGGGCCAGGUUCAUUUUGGCAUGUUAAAUAUACACAUCAGCUGUUUGUCCUGGGUCUGAAUCCCAACAAGGAGGAAGAGGACUGAGAACAGUCUCUCUCUCUCUCUCUCUCUCUCUCUCUCUCUCUCUCUCUCUCUCUCUCUCUCUGUGUGUGUGUGUGUGUGUGUGUGUGUGUGUGUGUGUUUGCUUUCUGACUAUAGAAACUAUGCAGGCCACCUCAUGCCAUAUUGUUGGGAGAAUUUCUCUCCUAGGGGGACAUAAACUAUGUCAGUUCCCUCCUUAAGGUCCCAAGCACAAAGUGAAGUUCACUCUAGAACCAGUGAGUUUACUGAGCUCACUUUCGAGCACAAGUGAGAGGCACUCACUGACAGGAGGCUGAGCAGUCCCAGAGGAAAGUCUUCACCCAGUACGAUGACGGCCUCCUGUCACAUCCAUGGUGCCCCAUCUUAGCUUCCCCCAGCCUAUACUGUGUAUGUCAGCACCAUCUGAGACCAGUGGUUAUGUGCAGUUAGGGCAGAAGUGAAAACAGAUGGCUGGGGGCGUGGCUAGAGUCCCAGGUGAAGGUCCAUACCCUCUCCAUCUAAGAUGGCAUGCCAACAGUCAACAAACUAGAUUGUGACGGACUCUUGCCAGCGGGCACAGCAGGCGUGAUAACGACGAUGACAGCUAUUUUGCUGGAAGAAUCAUGUCCUGGUCCUUUUCCCACCAUGAUGGGCUGCACCCUUAAACUGUGAGCCAAAGUACACCCUUCCUUCCUUCCUUGAGUUGCCUUGGUCACAUACUUUGUCCUAACGGAUGCAUUCCUUAAGCAACACAGCAUCCAGUUGUGCAGUAUCCGGCUGCUACGGCAUCUUCACGGAGUGAAGGGCUGCACGGAGUCUAGAAAAGACUGGUGACACAUAAAAGUGAUAUGCAAAUCCUGUGCUGCUUACCUAAAGAUGUGAGCAUCUAUGGGUUUUAAUUUCCUCCUGGGUCUUUGAACCGUUUCCAUGGAUACGUAGGAACAACUGUAAAGCUCUUUAAAAUGCAUCUGCCCAUGAAAGAAGGAGGCAUUCUCCAGAUGCCUCAGCCUUGAUGCACAGGCCGGGCCUGGCUCGUGAAGAAUGGGGGAGGAGAUGGAGAAACUCCUAGUCAUCUGUGAAGAGGAAUGCAUAAUCACAAGUUAUGUUUGGUUCCUUUGGUUUGUGGCUGCUCUCCUGUCGCAUGCUUCGGGUGGCCUCUAAGAUCACCUCUCCCUCACUGCAGAACAAAACUAAGACCAUUAUUUGUAUAAUUCGGGUGAAAGCAGUGAGUCUUUUGAGAUUGUAAAUGAGUACGUCUUUUAGAGAAAUCACGAUAAUUGUCUGUGUUCUCCGCUUCACUGCCGGGAACAUGCAAAGCGGAAUGAAACCUUGUAAGCCGCCCAUAAAACUCAUUCCCUCCAGGAGGACGAAGUCGUAGCACUCACUCUUGGCCGCACGCAACGGGGGCAGAACUGAGAAGAGUGCCCCGCUUCCUGUUCAUGGAGCUUGAAAGUAAAUUCACCUCCUUGUCCCACAAGGAGGCAAAGUAGGAUAUAAAAGCUGGUAAGUGUUUAGGUGAGAGUGUACGUGCUCAGUCAUGCGGUUGGCUUCCUCGAAGUACAGAAGAAGAGAAUAAAAGGAAUAAAGAAAAGCCUCUGUGAUGGUUAGUGUAUGUUCGGCCCAGGAAGUGGCACUGUUAGGAGGUGUGGUCUUGCUGGGGUGGGUGUGGCCCUGUUGGAGUAGGCGUGGCCUUGUUGGAGUAGGUGUGUCACUGUGGGCUGGGGCUUUAAGACCUCAUCCUAGUUGCCUGGAAGCCAGUAUUCUGCUAACAGUCUUCAGAUGGAGAUGUAGACCUCUCAGCUCCUCCUGCACCAUGCCUGCCUGGAUGCUGCCAUGUUCCUGCCUUAAUGAUAAUGGACUGAACCUCUGAACCUAAUGAGAGCAGCCCCUGCACGCUGGAUCUUCAAUGGUAACAGAAUCGUUAAGAGCAUCUGCUUGGCUGUUAAUUUCUAAUAGACCUCACAGGCAACAAUCUGUUCUCCAGGCACAGGCCCUAGCCGUUCUUCACGUCUCUGGGAAGAGAUGGCGCUGAGCCAACCACUGCCGUGGAGAGAUUCCUGAAACGGAUCAGUCAGAGGCCCAGCAGGCUGAGUUGGAAUCAUCUUCCACAACCCCUGGACUUACAAUCGCAGAGUACUUCUGGGGACAUUAAAGCAAGCUAAAUAAAACCCCAUUGUGCAUAUAAUCCACAA